rnacentral:rRNA from 1 species
GACGAACGCUGGCGGCGCGCCUAACACAUGCAAGUCGAACGGAGCCGAGAGAAGCUUGCUUUUCUUAGCUUAGUGGCGAACGGGUGAGUAACGCGUGAGUAACCUGCCCUGGAGUGGGGGACAACAGUUGGAAACGACUGCUAAUACCGCAUAAGCCCACGAUCCGGCAUCGGAUGGAGGGAAAAGGAUUUCUUCGCUUCAGGAUGGACUCGCGUCCAAUUUGCUAGUUGGUGAGGUAACGCCCCACCACGGCGACGAUUGGUAGCCGGACUGAGAGGUUGAGCGGCCACAUUGGGACUGAGACACGGCCCAGACUCCUACGGGAGGCAGCAGUGGGGGAUAUUGCACAAUGGGGGAAACCCUGAUGCAGCGACGCCGCGUGGAGGAAGAAGGUUUUCGGAUUGUAAACUCCUGUCGUUAGGGACGAUAAUGACGGUACCUAACAAGAAAGCACCGGCUAACUACGUG